rnacentral:lncRNA from 1 species
GUGCAAGGAAACAGAGGACAGCGGGAGAUGUCCCCUGAUGCCGGAGUCAUACCGGGGAUUCUUACGCACGGUUGCCAUGGAGCCACGGUGAUGGAAAAGCAACUGUGACAGAUCAUUCUGAAUGCACAUGGCAGUUUGAGGCUGUAAACAUCCCCGACUGGAAGCUGUCACUCAGAAGAGCUUUCAGUCUGAUGUUUACCACCUCCGACCGCCUCCUGCUCCACGGCGACGGAGGAGUCCGUGCACCCGUUUGACCCUCCGCCGCAGCAUCCAGGACUCUCGGAGUCCGCCUACCCGGCCGUUCCGGCUCAGUUGGUGUAAACAUCCUACACUCAGCUGUGAUCCUUUGCGGCAGAGGCUGAGAGAAGGUUGUUUACUUGAACUGGCUGGAAGUGACCCGCUGGCGUGAAGCGAGCCGAGCGAAGGGCGGCGGGGCCGAGGUCACGGGCCACAGGUUCAUCAAGUCGCUUCCCCCAAACAGCUUAGAGACAGCUGUUAAAACACCAGCCGCGUGUUUACAUACGAGUCAGGCAAAUUCACCCACAUGCUAAACCUUUAUUGACUUUAAGGUGACGCACUUUAAAAUAAUCCUUCUUCUCUGAAGGUCUGUAUCUGUUGUCGUGUGUCUGUUGUCGUGUGUCUGUUGUCGCUGUCAGCCGCUUAUAUUAAAUAAUGCUGCAUUCUCGUGAUGUGUAUUUGUUUUAUUUAACAUUGUUUUAAAGGUGUUUUUACCUCCUCAAUAUGUUUCUGAUAUAUUUUAAGCGUCUUCAUUUUGCCUGUUAUCAAAAUGUAAUUUAUAAAUGAGGGAGAGUUCAUUAGCUGUAAAGGUCAAAGGUCAGGCAGACAUCGCAGGGGUACCAGACCCAGUCCUCGAGGGCUACAGGGUGUGCAGCUCGUUUUAGGGCGGAAUGCGGCUCAGAUGGCGCCAUUCCGAGGGGAGAUAACGGCUUGUGAAGACCAGACUCCUCCGCUGAGGCGUGGAAGCAUCCGGGAGGCCUCCGUCUUCGUCGGGGCAACAGUGAACGCCAGCUCUUCCAUCCAAACUCAGCCGUCCAGAUCAGUGUUUCCAUCCCCGUCCACCGUACGCAGAGUUAAACUGGCAUCACAAACGCAGACCUGUUUGAUUAGCAUUGAUGCUGCAGCGCUGCCACGUCCCAGGGCUCUUGGUCCCUGCUGCUGUCAAAAGUCAGGAAGAAACACACCUGAUGUGACCAGAUGGUUGUGGAUCCGGGCGAUACUGUUCCCUCAAAUUUGGACAAGUCCAAGAGUCACUUCAAGUCAAUUUAUCCAGGAGUUUUCUGGUGAACGAUGGGAGGCUAAACACAAUGCCCUGGGGCACUCCAGAAUGAUAAUCAGCACAGUUUUCCUUCUUUUUUUGCUGUUUAAGUAUUGAUUUUUAGCAUUAGCUUAAGCAAAUAAAGCUGUCUGGAAGGCU